rnacentral:rRNA from 1 species
GAGGCCAAUAGCGGAUAUAACUCUCAGGCUGGAGUGCCGAGAGUUAGAAACGUUCCGGCGCUGUAGGAUGUGGCUGCGGCCGAUUAGGUAGAUGGUGGGGUAACGGCCCACCAUGCCGAUAAUCGGUACAGGUUGUGAGAGCAAGAGCCUGGAGACGGUAUCUGAGACAAGAUACCGGGCCCUACGGGGCGCAGCAGGCGCGAAACCUUUACACUGCACGACAGUGCGAUAGGGGGACUCCGAGUGUGAGGGCAUAUAGCCCUCGCUUUUCUGAACCGUAAGGUGGUACAGGAACAAGGACUGGGCAAGACCGGUG